CCGCAUAAGUUCUUCGGGACUCCGGUCCUGGAGAGGAAAGCUAGGUAGCAAUAUCCGGCACUCGAUGAGGAGCCUACGUCGCAUCAGCUAGUUGGUGGGGUAACGGCCUACCAAGGCGAAGACGCGUAGCUGGUCUGAGAGGAUGAUCAGCCACACUGGGACUGAGACACGGCCCAGACUCCUACGGGAGCAGCAGUGGGGAAUAUUGGACAAUGGGCGCAAGCCUGAUCCAGCCACGCCGCGUGAGUGAUGAAGGCCUUCGGGUCGUAAAGCUCUGUGGGGAGGGACGAACCGCUGGAUAUUAAUACCAUCCAGCAUGACGGUACCUCCUUAGCAAGCACCGGCUAACUUCGUGCCAGCAGCCGCGGUAA
rnacentral:rRNA from 1 species